AAACAGGAGAAUUGUAACGGUCAGUAAUUUGCGGACUGUCCCCUUAAGUUACGUUUACGUAAAAGGCGUGUGCACGUAGGCCACGCGGAAGAGUUGGUUUUGUACUGUGCGUGACGGACGUUGCUGGACCCAGAUCUUCAUUUAUCGUUAUUUACUUCUUUAGUAACGCAUUAUGAGCUUUGGAUGUUUUUACAACUCAUGUAUGAGCUGUCUACAAUACUCCAGGAGCCAGCCUGUGUCACGUGGUGAAUAAUCCAGCAAGUUUACUACUAAACUAAGUGAUUCUGCUCCGCAUCUCCUCCACGUGCUUCACACGCUUCUCUCUACCAGUUCCAAAGAUCUGCUCAUCUGGGUUGGAGUAUAAUUUAAACAGGACUAACUCCAAGCGUUACAGUAUGUACUAAAGUAGACAGUUACUGUAUGUGCAAGGCCGGUGUUCUUAAUAAAGUGACCGUGUGUUCCAGAGAGCUUGCGUCCUCUCAUUGGCCUGUUCCAAUAUUCUCCAAAACGCCGCAGAGCACCAUUGGUCUGUUCCAACGUGCUUCUCCAAUUUUUAUUGGCUCUCCCGUUGCUGUCCCAGCAUCCUGCCACACUUCUGACUUAAAGCAUUCGAAUGUUUUCCAAACUGGCAUCUCCAUAU